UACGUAGGGUGCAAGCGUUGUCCGGAAUUAUUGGGCGUAAGGGGCUCGUAGGCGGUUUGUCGCGUCGGGAGUGAAAUCCACUGGCUUAACUGGUGGCUUGCUUUCGAUACGGGCAGACUGGAGGUAUGCAGGGGAGAACGGAAUUCCUGGUGUAGCGGUGAAAUGCGCAGAUAUCAGGAGGAACACCGGUGGCGAAGGCGGUUCUCUGGGCAUGUCCUGACGCUGAGGAGCGAAAGUGUGGGGAGCGAACAGG
rnacentral:rRNA from 1 species